rnacentral:tRNA from 1 species
GCUCCGGUAGUGUAGCCCGGCCAAAUGAUGGCUAAGCAUAAGGGGCUUUCACCCCCUUGACCCGGGUUCGAAUCCCGGCCGGAGCACCA